UGAACAUAAUAAAUUGUUGUUUAGCUGAAGAUUUAAGAGAGGUACCUGGAAAGUUGCAAUGGAGUUGAGGGAAUAGCAGAACCUGGGUUCUGCUCUUCAUUAUUCUGGAUUUCAGGGCCUUGCAGACCUUUGUCCAUCACACUUUUAGGGGAAAGUUGUGUGAGGAAUACGAUCUGUAUCUCAGAUGCACAAUCAAGAAACCAGUCAAUCAGAGUGCAAUCAAGAUAAUCAAGCGGAAUCACCAAUAAAACUUACCAUCCUUUCUUCCAAAUGCAUUUUUACAACCCUCACAUCUGCAGCUAAUGGAGCAUCCAACACCACCCUUUGCGAAAGACAAAUGGUUUAAAUAAGAUCCGGCUCAGAAAAAUAAUAAAGAUAAUUAAAAAAACAUGUAUACCCAAGGGGUAAAACCUGAUAGCAUUCACAAUAUUUCUUAAGACAACUUGAUUUCUUGCAGUUGCAUCCUCUUUUAUGCCGUGCAGAUGCUGGGGUUUUGUUAGAUUCAUCCUGAAAGAAACAAAUUUCCCAUGUUAUCAUCUUGCAGCUUCACAAAAAAAAAAUCUAAACGGAGAUUUUCAUACCCCUGGUUCUGGGAGAGAAUCCGAGUUCCUGAUCACUUUGGGAGCAAAUGCAAGCGGAUUGCGAGAUUCAAUCUGCUUACGAGUUGCAAGAACGGUAUCUUCAUGAAUAGGUUUGUUAAAGCAAUCUUGACAUGAACAUGGCUCAAUACAGUAAACGCCAGCUGCAAAGCAUUCACAGUAACUGCAAAUAGAGGACAAAAGUCAAAUACAAUACUUACCGAGACAAGUUCAAAAUUACAGCGUUUGCAUGAUGACUCGGUUUCUCCAGCAGGUUCCAACCUACGCCUGCAAAACCAUUAGGCCUCCAUUAGAUAACAAGCAAGCACAUAUGCAGAUGCCCUAGCACCAUCUUCCUCAUUUUGCACCCCAUUCCCUGACGGAUCCAUGUCCCUUUCAGUAACAGCUGAUGUCAAGAGAGGAUCCAGUCCACCUGAAGGUGAAUGGCAUGAAGCACUUGAAUUGGGCAAAUUGAGUUGCCUCUCAGAUGAAAACUUUUCAUGAUUGAGAUUUUUGGCAUCCUUUGAAGUUGUUGCCAAAGCAUUCAAGUGUAAACCUAUUCCAGUUAAAACGCAUCUGGUUGCAACACCACCAGACUUAUAAGGGACAAGUUGUUUAUCCAUGGACGCCGUCUUCUCUUCUGGAUGUGUCGACACAGAACCACCAUUUGAAGUAUCUUCUAAGUUUUUUCUUCGACUGACUGCAGCCUCAAAGUCCAGACACCGCCUCCGCAUACCACGAUACAAAUUAGAUGCCGGCUGUAAGCAAACAACAAGCCAUAACUAAUAUUAUUAAAUAUCCAGAACAUAUUGCAUUAAUCAAAAGCUAAAAAAAAGUUAAUAAGCAAACCUAACGUAACAAGAUACUCAAAAUUAAUGGGAUUGACGAAUGGUGAAACAGGCUCUAUAUGUUAGCUCAGCAAAUUCAUAUUGGCAUGGAUACAAUGUAGUGGCCUGGCAAUUAGGGUAAUAAAAACAUUGAAAAGUUUAGUUUAAAAGAAAUAUAUGAGGUUAUCCUUCAUGAUCAACAUAUAUUCUUUUCCUUAUCUCAAUUUCAUUGCCCAUUAUUUCCUUGAACAUCUGACAUGCAUGAUGCAAAAAGUUAAACCACGGAAUUUUCAUAAAAUGUUUCAGCGGAGACAAUUAAACGUUAAUACCUUACAAUCAUCUGCUAUAUAUCUAGCCACUUCAUCAUCUGUUAUUUCCCUACUCACAGAGUUACUUGAAUUUGGAAAGGAAAGGCUAUCCAUUCCUUGGUCCAUAUCUUUUAGUUCACAAGCUUCUCCAGCUUGAGAUGACAAAAACUCUAUUUCAUGCUGUCCACCACUACAUUCUAUUGGAUCAGCAAUUCUCAUUUUUGACAGAUUGGCAUUGUCAUUUUCCAUGAUCUGAGACAAGGUACUUGAUGCAAACCCUGUCACAAGGUCUAAUGGUUUCUGAACUAGUCGGAUAGCCUCCGAGCCGUUGGGAGAGCUGAAUAUCAAAAGAUCGGCACCUUCAGUAAUUAAACUUUCCCAGUCAUAACCAGUCCCCUCUCUUUCUUCAGUGUGGUUUAUGACCUGCUUAUUCUCUUCAGCUUCAGAUGACUCAUUCCCAGAUUUAUUUUUAACACAGGAGUCACUUAAAGCCGGAUCUUCACCUGAUUUUAGAACACUAUCUGGUAGCUUUUGGUCACAAUCUGGAUGAGAAGAAUCACUCUUUGAUGCUUGUGGCUCUUCAUUAGUGGACACUGGACGCUCAGAAGGCAGCUCAGUAGAUGGAUUAGAAAGAGAAUCAGAUUUGCCAUCCGGUGCACUAGAGUCAUCCUGCAAUUCAGCCACAUUCCCUGUAGCACCUCUAUCAGUCUCAACUUUACUCCCAUCUUCGGUAGAAAAGUCUGGUUUUGAUAGAUCUGAAAUACUGUGUCUGUUGACAAAUAAAGUUUCAAUUAUAUGAAGAGUGGAAUAGACUGUAGUUA